GGUAGCUUUGGCGGCUGCUCCUUCCGAAACGCGAGCGAAUUUGCGAUGUCGAGAGACGGAGCGGGGAGGGGGGGAAGGGGGGAGAAAAGAAGGGGAAAAAAAAAAAAAUCAGAUAAUGCAAUUACGGCUCCUCAAGGGCGAGCGAGCAAUGUCAGAAAAAUAAGAAAGGGCUUCGCAAAGUUUGGCUGCAUGGUUCCUCCGGCUCCGCGAGCGCCGACCGGACCGGGGCUUUUUUGUUGUUGUUGUUGUUAAAUGAUUAUUAUUCAAAAUGUUUGGCGAAAUGCAUUAUAUUGCAUGCCCCCUGGUGACAGUACAGUACCGAGGCUUUUCAUAAACACUCCGAAAUGUAGCCCUUUCCUUGUAAUGUCCUUACGUCAGCUUGCAACAUUGCAAUAUUUCCUCUGCCGGGGCUGGGGCUGGGGCGGGCGGCGGAGGAGGGGGAGGCGAAGCGAGGCGAGGCGGCAGCGCGCGGCCGGGAGGAAGCCGCGUUAUAUUGUAGGUUUGGAAGGCACCCACCACUUCCAUCAGGGCCAGCCCCAUCGCUGUCGCACGCUGGGCUCCUACCCCGGAGCUGCAGCACACAAUCUCAUGUUACACAGAACCUUGACACGAGGGAGCAACUUUAUUGGACAUCAGCAUCAUUCUGACGACAACACUGUCUUCAGCACGGGUCACCAGAGUCUGGCAGGGUACAUGAAACCCAAACGCCCAUCCUACCAGAGGCCAAUAAAAACUUACCAGUUUCUCUUAUAA